GUGCCAGCAGCCGCGGUAAUACGUAGGGUGCGAGCGUUGUCCGGAAUUACUGGGCGUAAAGAGCUCGUAGGUGGUUUGUCGCGUUGUUCGUGAAAACCUGAGGCUUAACCUUGGGCGUGCGGGCGAUACGGGCAGACUGGAGUACUGCAGGGGAGACUGGAAUUCCUGGUGUAGCGGUGGAAUGCGCAGAUAUCAGGAGGAACACCGGUGGCGAAGGCGGGUCUCUGGGCAGUAACUGACGCUGAGGAGCGAAAGCGUGGGGAGCGAACAGGAUUAGAUACCCCCGUAGUCC
rnacentral:rRNA from 1 species